CCUUCAGCGCGGUUGGGUCCAAGUUUGAAAUAUGGCAACUUUGAAAGAUAUUACCAGGCGACUGAAGUCCAUCAAAAACAUCCAGAAAAUUACCAAGUCUAUGAAAAUGGUAGCAGCAGCAAAAUAUGCCCAAGCUGAGAGGGAUCUGAAACCAGCUCGAGUGUACGGAACAGGAUCUUUGGCUCUUUACAAAAAAGCUGAUAUUAAGGUGCCUGAAGAUAAGAAGAAGCACCUCAUCAUUGGUGUGUCCUCAGAUAGAGGGCUUUGUGGUGCCAUCCAUUCCUCAGUUGCCAAGCAAAUGAAAACUGAGGUGGCUUCGCUCACAGCAGCCGGGAAAGAAGUUAUGAUUGUUGGAAUUGGUGAAAAAAUCAGGGGCAUACUUUAUAGGACUCAUUCUGACCAGUUUCUGGUGGCGUUCAAAGAAGUGGGCAGAAAGCCCCCUACUUUUGGAGAUGCGUCAGUCAUUGCCCUUGAGUUACUAAAUUCUGGAUAUGAGUUUGAUGAAGGCUCUAUCAUCUUUAAUCGUUUCAGGUCUGUCAUCUCCUAUAAGACAGAAGUAAAACCCAUCUUCUCUCUUAAUACCAUUGCAAGUGCUGAGACUAUGAGUAUCUACGAUGAUAUUGAUUCUGAUGUGCUGCAAAAUUACCAAGAAUGCAAUCUGGCUAACAUCAUCUACUACUCUUUGAAGGAGUCUACCACCAGUGAGCAGAGUGCUAGGAUGACAGCCAUGGACAACGCCAGCAAGAGCGCUUCUGAUAUGAUUGAUAAGUUGACUUUGACAUUCAACCGCACCCGCCAAGCUGUCAUCACGAAAGAGUUGAUUGAAAUUAUCUCUGGUGCUGCAGCUCUAGAUUAAUGAAAAUCAAGUUCCAUCCUCAGAUAAGAGGUAAAGAAGGAAAAUUCAGCCAGCUGAUUUGUUUUUAACUUACUGCUGUUUUGUCAGAAGAAGUUGUUGCUCCACUGUUUGAAUGAAGACAGCAAGAUAUUUGUAAAUUAUCUUACAAUAAACAACUUAAAAUAAGAAAAAAAAAAAA